GUUCCUCGUGGUCGUAAACAAWACGACUYUCGRCAACGGAUAUCUCGGCUCUCGCAUCGAUGAAGAACGUAGCGAAAUGCGAUACUUGGUGUGAAUUGCAGAAUCCCGUGAACCAUCGAGUCUUUGAACGCAAGU
rnacentral:rRNA from 1 species